UUGCAUAUCAAAAAGCGGAGGAAAAGAAACCAACAGGGAUUGCCUUAGUAGCGGCGAGUGAAGCGGCAAAAGCUCAAAUUUGAAAUCUGGCACUUUCAGUGUCCGAGUUGUAAUUUGAAGAAGGUAUCUUUGGGUCUGGCUCUUGUCUAUGUUUCUUGGAACAGAACGUCACAGAGGGUGAGAAUCCCGUGCGAUGAGAUGUCCCAGACCUAUGUAAAGUUCCUUCGAAGAGUCGAGUUGUUUGGGAAUGCAGCUCUAAGUGGGUGGUAAAUUCCAUCUAAAGCUAAAUAUUGGCGAGAGACCGAUAGCGAACAAGUACAGUGAUGGAAAGAUGAAAAGAACUUUGAAAAGAGAGUGAAAAAGUACGUGAAAUUGUUGAAAGGGAAGGGCUUGAGAUCAGACUUGGUAUUUUGUAUGUUACUCUCUCGGGGGUGGCCUCUACAGUUUACCGGGCCAGCAUCAGUUUGAGCGGUAGGAUAAGUGCAAAGAAAUGUGGCACUGCUUCGGUAGUGUGUUAUAGUCUUUGUCGAUACUGCCAGCUUAGACUGAGGACUGCGGCUUCGGCCUAGGAUGUUGGCAUAAUGAUCUUAAGUCGCCCGUCUUGAAACACGAGACCAAAAA
rnacentral:rRNA from 1 species